rnacentral:rRNA from 1 species
UACAGAGGGUGCGAGCGUUAAUCGGAUUUACUGGGCGUAAAGGGUGCGUAGGUGGUCACGAAAGUCGGAUGUGAAAGCCCUGGGCUCAACCUGGGAAUGCCAUUCGAUACUCCGCGACUAGAAUUCGGUAGAGGGAGGCGGAACUCCAGGUGUAGCGGUGAAAUGCGUAGAUAUCGGGAGGAACAUCAGUGGCGAAGGCGACUAUCUGGACCAAUACUGACGCUGAGGUGCGAAAGCGUGGGGAGCAAACAGG